UUAAUUGUGUCAAUCUAGGAUACUUGGGUGAUAAAGAAGGAUCUCUGUCAGGCAACUGUCUUCCACAGAGUUGUUUGAAUAUUUUCCAAUAAAAUUAUUAUUUCUAAUAGAUUGGAUUGCUAAGUACAACAUCUUUUGACUUCAUUUAUUUGCCUCAAGAAUAUAGUAUCUUUGAUUCUAAUCAAUUUCCAGUAGAGGAUAUAACCGAGUUGGUUGUUGUUGUUGUUGUUGUUGUUGUUUUCACAGAACUUCAAAGGCCCAAUUCCAGAGAUAUAAACUACUUUCUCUAGAGAUCCACAGGAGUAACUACUACUAUCCAAUCUAGUGACUGAGUUCAUUGAAGGUGCAUCAGUAGAAAAUCUGCUUGAAACUUCCUUGGAAAGACCCAUAUCAAGAUCUACUUAUUGCAAUAAAGUGUCCAGGCUUUCACAUUUGGAUCCAUAUUUCAUGUUGUAAGACAACCAUUCCACAAGACAUUGAACAAGAACUACCUGCUCCAUCAGAAACAUUCCCAUCAAUGAAUGGGGAGCCAAGUGCCAGUCAUCAAGCUAAUAUAAAUACAGUGGGGAUUAAAGUGUCCACUAGUGAAGAUUUGCCACAGAAUUGCUGCUAUGCCUUCCAGUCAAGAAACCACAUCUACACCAAGCAUUUGGCUCCCAAAAUGGACAUGGCUCAUUAUUUUGUGGCUGUUUCUUAGUGGACUCCUCUUGAUUAUUUUUUGUUAUUCAUCAGAGUCAGAAGUUGAAAAAUCUCAGAAUCAGACCAACUUACUGUUCCAAGUAAAAAGGUCUUCAUCUGUCCUGAGGGGCUAUAAUAAUACUUUCCUACACAGAUCACACAAGUUUCCUAAAGACUAAAUUAUUUCUGAAUUCUGGGCAUGUACAUGAGAAAUCUUCCAUUGAUACCUAUCUAAAGAUAAUCACAGACUUAUCUGCUUUUGCUUGCAAUGAGAAAUUAACUAUCAACAAAGAUAUGCUUAAAAUUUCUGCUUUAAUUUUAAAAAAUUAUUUGCUUAAAUUCUUGAGUGAGACAAUAAAAAAUUUAAAGAUGGUAUUAUUCAAUACCAUCAAAGAAUGUCAUCAAAAGUCCUUCCAUCUGUUUCUAACUGAACAGACUAUUGGAUUUCACAUAUCGCCUAAAAGAUGGUCAUUUUCACUGGGUCACAAAGGCAACUAGUUGGCAAAGUGAAUAGAGAAUUGGAUUCAGAAUCAGGAAGAAGACCUGAAUUUGAAUCUUGCCUCAAGUACAUACUAGUUACAUGACCUUGGCCUAGUCAUUUAACUUCUUAAUUUCAGUUUUUUUAUGAGUAAAAAUGGAGAUGAUAAUAGUACCUCUUUCACAUAUAGUACUUCACACAGUGUGAGGCUCAAGUAAGAUAAAUAUAUGUAGAGCUAUAUAAAUGUUAGCAUUAUGAUUAGCUAUAGGCAUUUUAAUUAUUUUAUAUCCAGUUUUCAUCUUGUUAUAAUCAAAGGAUUUAUUUGUCUAUAUCUUAAAUUAUUC